rnacentral:rRNA from 1 species
AGGAAAGCAGGGGAUCGCAAGACCUUGCGCUUUUGGAGCGGCCGAUGUCUGAUUAGCUAGUUGGUGAGGUAAAGGCUUACCAAGGCGUCGAUCAGUAGCUGGUCUGAGAGGACGACCAGCCACACUGGGACUGAGACACGGCCCAGACUCCUACGGGAGGCAGCAGUGGGGAAUUUUGGACAAUGGGGGAAACCCUGAUCCAGCCAUGCCGCGUGAGUGAAGAAGGCCUUCGGGUUGUAAAGCUCUUUCAGCCGGAACGAAACGGUCACAGCUAAUACCUGUGACUACUGACGGUACCGGAAGAAGAAGCACCGGCUAACUACGUGCCAGCAGCCGCGGUAAUACGUAGGGUGCGAGCGUUAAUCGGAAUUACUGGGCGCAAAGCGUGCGCAGGCGGUUUUGUAAGUCAGAUGUGAAUCCCCGGGCUUAACCUGGGAACUGCGUUUGAAACUACAAGGCU